GGCUCCUUGGUCAAGCGGUUAAGACACCACCCUUUCACGGUGGUAACAGGGGUUCGAUUCUCCUAGGAGUCACCA
rnacentral:tRNA from 1 species